UUCUUCUUCUUCUUCUCUUCUUCUUCUUAUUCUUAUUCUUAUUCUUAUUCUUAUUCUUAUUCUUAUUCUUCUUCCUUCUUUUCAUUUUUCCUCUUCUUCUUCCUUCUUUUCCUUUUUCCUCUUCUUUAUUCUUCUCCUCUCUCCUCUUUUUCUUCUUCUACAUCUACUUCUUCUUCUUCUUCUUCUUCUUCUUCUUCUCACCCUCCCCCUUCUCCUCCUCCUCAUCUUCUUCUUCUUCUUCUUUCCUUAUCUGCUUAUUCUUAUUUUAUUUAUUCAUCUUUU
rnacentral:lncRNA from 1 species